rnacentral:misc_RNA from 1 species
GACGUAGGGGACGAGCGUUGCCCGGAAUUACUGGGCGUAAAGGGUGUGUAGGUGGCGGAGUAUGUCCCGUGUGAAAGCGCAGAGCUUAACUCUGCGUCGUCGCGGGAAACUGCUUCGCUAGAGGGCAGUAGAGGUGGGUGGAAUUCCCGGAGAAGCGGUGACAUGCGUAGAUCUCGGGAGGAACACCGGUGGCGAAGGCGGCCCACUGGGCUGACCCUGACACUGAGGCACGAAAGCGUGGGGAGCAAACCGA